CUGCACGUUGCACCCCGGGCUUCUCUGAAAAUGUAUUUCAAUGAAGAAGAAAGCCCCAAUGCUCGUGCUAAAUCAAUUUUUUUGGUCGUUCAGUGUUGCAAAUCAGCUUUGUUUUUUCUCCACAGUUGAUCUGUGUCAAAGUAACGUCUAUAUCU